UUUACCAGGAAAUUAAGAAUUCCAUUGAAUCAUAAAGACUGAAAAAGUGUCAUUUACCCAAAACUCACUUGUGCGUCCUCAUAGGUGUCCUCAUUGCUCUACAAACACCUAAGCACCUAUUGUGUGCUGUCCAUAGGCCACUGGAAGGACAGCAGGUGACAAAGCCCCACAGGCCUAGCGUUCUGUCCAGUACAGUGGCCACUAGCUAUUUACACCUCAAAUUAGAAAUUCCAUUCCUCAGUUGUAUUGGCCACAUCUCAGUGCACAGAUGUAACUAGCAGCAAUGCAGAUAGAGAGCACACCCAUCACAGAAAGGUUUCUGUUGGGCAGAUGGCAGACACUGUACACGUUGAAAAAUGAGCCCGAGUUAGCUCUGAGGGAACAGGGUAAGGUUCAGUGAACUGUAGAGCAGAUCUCGUCCAGCCUGGGCAUUGUUGACAGAGUGGCAGUGGGAUAGGCUGGAGAGGGACAGGUGGGAGUUUGGCUUCCAUUCCGGUGUCUCAAUGCUUUUCUUUCAAUUCCACAAACUCUCAUGUGCCUUUCAACAAAUCCCUUUUCUUUAGUAGUCUUGAAGGUGACUCAUCACAACAGAAAGAGCCCCCAUCUAGAACUGCAUUCUGCAAACUGUUCUACAGAAAGAUGUCAGCAGGCGCCCCCAACUUCCCUUGCCCCAGCAGAGCCCCACAGAACCGACAGUUCUGACUAGUCCUGUAGUAAAGGAGCAUUUACAGUCUUAUAUGGGUUAAGUUUCCCAAACUUCUAGGACCAUGUGAUACAAUCAACUAGUGAUACAGUUUGGGAUCUUACCUUGAGGAAAGCAGGACCAGAACACAACUCUUCUACAACUUGGUCUUGUUUUGCAUUAUUUAUUUGAAGCCCUUUGUCAGAAUGUGUUGUGUAGGUGGGAGACCCUUGCUCCUUCUUUGAAGGACCUAGACAUCCUCACACCUCUUUGUCAGCAGCCAAGCCAUCAGGCCUCACCAGCUACACGCAGAGAGCAGGCAUGCAAGGGGAGCAACAUGUUCUUUUAUUGAUGCAAGUACGUCCAGUCACACCAACAACUGACAUCCUGUGUUACGGUACAGCUUUGUACUCAGAGUUCAUCUCAAAAUACCAAAACAUCGUAAGGUGUGUAUCAAAUUGGGAAAAUAAAGUAGCAAACAUAGACACUGUAUCAGGUAGGUACUAGGACUGAUGACCCCGUGGAGUGCACACUGACAUGAAAGCUCCUUAACUCGCAAGACAAAGUGUUCUAACGUUGUAUUCCAAAUAUAUAUUCUCAAGUUUUUAGCCUUUCUGUAUCUCAAAUACAUAAACAAGGCAAUAUGUACUACCAAGAUACAAUAUGUACUAUCUAGAACAUCUGAAAAGUGCAAAAACACUGUGACAAUACAGUGUAAAUAAUCUUGUUCCACCCAGGGCUGAGGGCGACGUCCAUAUCGGAUUGGGGAGCCACCCCUUCCUGAGGCCUCACCUCCACAUCUCCAGGCUCUCCUAGGAGCUUUGGGAAUUAGCAACUAACUGACCCAUCCUCACUUGGGCAUCUCGGCUGCAGGCUCCUGGGAAGCCAGGCAUACGGAGAGAAACAAGGUUAUAUACAAAAUGGACCCCAACCAGUGAGGCCUCCUCAUCUCAACCCUUAUCAAUCAAGAUUAAAACUCAGUGCAUGUGUGUGCUUCGUCCAGCGUCUGCAGGCUGCAUCCGUGCCUUCAGGCUCUGUUAAGGAGAGUCGUCCUAAAGGACCUUCACUUUCAAAGGAGGCGAUGAAGAGAGCUGAGAGAAGAAGCCCCUCAGAACCCACGUCCACAUGCAGUCAGUCUGCCUACCACACCAGUUGUCCCUUCCUUUCUAGGGGUACAACUGGGCCUGGGAAGGGACAGUGACUUCUGGUCUGGGCCUGUCCACAGGUCUCUGCUCCCUGGGGUUCUAGAGCUCACAGUUUGGAGACUGAGAAGCUUCCUGGUUCUGCAACACUAUCGGGGCUUCCAGAGCCCCAUCUCUCCUUGUUCUCAUCCUGUCACCUACCCACAGCCCACCCUCACGUACUCAGCCCUGUGGGCUCAGCUUCCCCUGUGAUCAGGCCUGCCUCCCAGGGCAACCCCCCAGGAGAGGAGAGGCCCUGGACAUGGGGAGUCAGGGUGACAUGUACAGUGUAGGGAGGUGGGUGUGCUGCCCUGGGGAGCCGGGCCUCACCUUCCUCGCUGUAGAUGGGUGCCGUGAGCAGGUAGUUCUGAAUCUUCUUGUCCUUCUCGAAGGGACACUCUACCUGAGUCCAUGUCAUGAACUCAUGGAUCUGUCUGGAGAUUUCCCAAAAUUUCUGAAGGCACAGAAGACCAACUGGAUGUUCAUUUGUCACCUUAAGCUUGAAAUCCUUGGUUCGGGCAGGGGACGUAGGUUCCGGUUUCAUUCUGUGCCCCAGCAAGAUGGGACGGUGACCCUGCUCAGCUGACUUUGUGGCCACGGCAGCACUUUAUGCAGCAUCAAAGCCAGUAAGUGUCCCCAAGACCAUUCGGUCCUGCACUUUGCCUAGGCCCGAGGCUGCAGCAGGGUCUGUGCCUCCCCCGUGCAAGACCCCAAGAGGGCCCCAUCGGGGACUCCAGGCUGAGGCAGGUAUGCCAGCCAUACCCAGCACAGCACCACCAACCUGAACGUGUCAUGAUCUCAUUCUCUGGGGAGCUGUAGGGGAAACGGGGCUGUCCAGUACUUACCUCACACAGGUAAGGGGUAGAAAAGAGUUAUGGAUUCUUACACAGGCCCCCAUAACCUUUGUCCUACCUUCCCACCGUUGGCCAGCUACCCUUGGUUUCCAUCUGGAAUUCUGCCUCCUCCCUGCUCAGGUACCUUCUUGCCUAAAGCCUUCCUCACUCCCAAACCCCCAGAAGUAGCCCUUUCUCUGUCUCCCUGGUGGGGUCAGUGUUGGGGCCACCCUUAAUACUUCACAAACAGCACACAUAACCCACCCUGGAGCUUUCAGUCCUAAAGGCCUUUCUGGAAAGGGCCACUGCUUUUCAGCUCUAGUAGCACAGAUUCUACCUGCCCUAGGAUAAGGCUGAGAGGUCUGUUCUGCCCUGUGUUGGGACAGUCUGGCCCCCCUCCCCUCAGGCCACAAGGGUGCUGAGCUCACCUUAAAGUUAACAUGCCCGUUGGGCAAGUGAUUGGUAUGGAUUUUGUGCAGGAAGUAAAUGUCCUUAACGAAAAGGUUGAAUACAGGGAUAACAAUCUUCUCUCUGCUGCUGUUGGCCAUCUGGGACCUUUGAGUGGCACCCUGCAGGGCAGUGCGGUAGUUGCAGAAGUUGCUGGAUGGGUCCAUGUGGUGCUGUGGGCAGACAGGAGGACCUGGUUGGCUGUGUUCUCCCUGUACGCCUGACUUGUUCAGAAUGCCCCUUCGCAGAGCAGGAAACAGCGAUGGGGAAGGCAUUUCCCUGCUGGGCAGCCCUGGACUGUCACCAGAAGAGGCCUCCUUUCUGGGAGUGAGCACCUGGCUGAGUACCGGGUUUGGAUCCAAACAUGAGGAAAGUUACAGAGAAGUCUCACAGCUCACACACACCUCUUCCCUGCCCUGCUGAGCCUGGGUCUCACUUCUUUCCUUUCAAAACCUUCCUUUGCCCUUCUACUUGGACCAAUACCUCCCAAAAUUGACAAGCUCCAUAGGACACAUUUGCAGAAAGUGGAUUCUGUGAUCAAAUACUUCAGGGAAGGCUGCAGGUGAACCUACCCACUCUUGGGCCACCUGGAUGAUCCAGGACCGCAGGAACUCAAGCCAGGAAAAGGACAGCCUCUGCUUCGUCAGCAUCACCCAACACCCCAGCAACACCCUGGGACCCACUUUUGUCAAACUCUUUCUUAACCACUCUCUAGAACUUGCCUUAGGCAAUGCCAGUUCUGCCUAAAGUUCCAAGGGCCGAGGAGAGCUUCAGCUACCCACCUCCUAGAGCAGCCAGGCCAGCUCAACAUGCCCUACACCAGAUGGCACUGUGGGCAGUGGGUUCUGAGCAAGGGGGCAGAGUGGAUGAGGCCCACCCCUCCUCAGGCCAAUGUAGGACAUGGCUGAGGUGCUUACCUCCAAGACGUCAAACUUGGCCGUCUUGACUUUGGACCACGUUUUCUUCAGCCUCGCCACAGGACUGAGGUUCAUGCCAGCUGCAGGGAACAGCAGGUGGAGUCAGGGUGGGGUUAGGUAGGCCAUGCAGAAGCUGGGUAGGAAGCCCCUGGGGCCUGGCCACUCACAGAUGAUGGCCAUCAUGGAGUUGAAAUUCCCGAUGUUGAAGCACUCCCGGGCCACAUCAAUAAAGAACUCUAGCAUGCG